AGUGAACGCUGGCGGUAGGCCUAACACAUGCAAGUCGAACGGCAGCACAGUAAGAGCUUGCUCUUACGGGUGGCGAGUGGCGGACGGGUGAGGAAUACAUCGGAAUCUACUUUUUCGUGGGGGAUAACGUAGGGAAACUUACGCUAAUACCGCAUACGACCUACGGGUGAAAGCAGGGGAUCUUCGGACCUUGCGCGAUUGAAUGAGCCGAUGUCGGAUUAGCUAGUUGGCGGGGUAAAGGCCCACCAAGGCGACGAUCCGUAGCUGGUCUGAGAGGAUGAUCAGCCACACUGGAACUGAGACACGGUCCAGACUCCUACGGGAGGCAGCAGUGGGGAAUAUUGGACAAUGGGCGCAAGCCCGAUCCAGCCAUACCGCGUGGGUGAAGAAGGCCUUCGGGUUGUAAAGCCCUUUUGUUGGGAAAGAAAAGCAGCAGGUUAAUACCCCGCUGCUCUGACGGUACCCAAAGAAUAAGCACCGGCUAACUUCGUG
rnacentral:rRNA from 1 species